GGACUGAAGACCGUUGACUGGGGCGUCUCUUGAUUGUUCAACGUUACCGAGUGAGGGAGAGUGUAAACAAAUGCAGAAUAGGCUUCUGCAAUCUGCAUUUCCAGGCCAGACCAGACGGCCAAAAGCUGCAAAUUUUCUUUUCUUUCAUUUUCUGCCUUGAUUUUUCAAGAAAAUCAUCCAGCAAGAGGAGGCUCUAUGGAUGAAUCAUUUUUUUCAGGUACAUUGUUGGAAGUUGAAUCAGACCUGUGCCAUUAGCUCAAAUACUGAUUUUGUGAAUGCCUUGGAUUCAGGCAUAAACACUUAUGCAGUUUGAUUGCAUAACUCAAUGAGAGUUUGGGUUCUGUAUCUGUAGAUUUUCCCUUGUAAUAAGAUGGCAAAGGAUGUUAUUAUUAGUGCAUCAUUUGUACCAAUAUCUGAGAUGCUUUCUCAGGUAGCCCUCUCCAUAUUUGCAACAGUACAUGCAGCCAAAGAAGUCCUUGUUCAGAAGGAAAAUAUCAAGAAGUUCUCAACUUACUUGGAGAAGACUGCAUGUGUGUUGAAAGAGUUGUCAAGGUUAAACCUAGACUAUUCUGAGAGCUUUAAAAAUGCCGUAGAGAUUCUGAAACGAGAGUCCAAAAUUGCUGAGCAGUUGGUUCUUGAAUGCAAGAACAAAAAUAAGGUCUAUCUGUUCCUGAAUUGCAAGAGAAUCAUUAAGCGUUUAGAGAAUAACACAAAAGAGAUUAGUUGGGCUUUAAGCCUCAUACCUGUAGCCUCUUUAGAUCUUUCUGUGGGCAUAAGUGAUGAAAUUAGCAAGUUGUGCAAGAAUAUGCUGGGUGCUGAGUAUCGGGCAGCAGUAGCGGAGCAAGAAAUUUUGGAAAAGAUCGUCUCAGCAACACAGGAAUGCAAUGCUGAUCGAUCUCGUGCAAAUGAUUUGUUGUUUCAUAUUGCUGAGGCUGUUGGGAUCUCUACUGAGCAGUCAUCUUUUGAGAAGGAAUUUAAAGAAUUUAAGAACGAAAUAGAAGAUGCAAAGCUAAGAAAAGACAUGACAGAAGCUGUACAGAUGGAGCAGAUCAUUGCAUUCCUUGAAAAUGCUGAUGCCAUCAAAUCUCAUGAGGAGAGAGAGAAGAAGUACUUUAAAAAACGAAAUUCUCUGGGCCGGCAGCCAUUACAACCUCUGCAAUCAUUUUAUUGUCCAAUUACUCAGGAUGUAAUGGUUGAUCCUGUGGAAAUUUCAUCUGGUAAAACAUUUGAGAGAGCUGCAAUAGAGAAGUGGUUUGCAGAAGGGCACAACAGCUGUCCCUUGACCCAAAUUUCCCUUGACAAUUUGUUUUUACGGCCUAACAAACCACUUCAAAAACUAAUUGAAGAAUGGAGGGACAGAAACAAUUUGAUUACCAUUGUUUCCCUUAAGCCCACACUUCAGUCGACAGAGGAGCAUACAGUGCUACAAUCGCUGGACAAGCUGCAGGGUCUACUGGUGGAACGAGAGUUGCACCGAGAAUGGGUGACAAUGGAGAACUAUAUACCAGUUCUUAUUGGACUUCUUAGUGCAAAAAAUCGUGAAAUAAGAACUUGCACGCUGACCAUUCUUUGCAUCCUUGCUAAGGACAGUGAAGACAACAAGAAAGCAAUUGCUAAAGUUGAUCAUGCGCUUGAAUUGAUUGUCCGUUCACUUGCCCGCCAGAUUGCUGAAAGUAAGUUAGCUUUGCAGUUGUUAUUAGAUCUAUCAAGGCAUCAUCUGGUGAAAACUGGCAUUGGAAAUAUCCAGAGCUGCAUAUUUCUCUUAGUAACUGCAUCAAACAGCAAUGACAAUCAAGCUGCCAAAAAUGCAGAAGAGCUUUUAGACAAUCUGUCUUUUUGCAAUCAAAAUGUUAUAGAGAUGGCAAAGGCAAACUAUUUUAAACCAUUACUGCAACUUCUUUCCUCAGGUAUGUUUUUGUUAUGGUGCUUCUUUAUUAAUGAAUAUAAUAAAAGGUAUUCUUUUUAGGCCAUUUGACAUUGCAUGUUUCUGAUUUGAAAUCUGCUUGGAGGUAUUUGUGCAAGUUUUAAUUUGAAAAAAUUUUCCAGGCUUGGACUACCUUGAAAAAUUAGUGCAAGAAAACAAAGUAGGUUUUUACCUGAUUGCUUUGGCAAAAUGUUGGUUUUUUUAGUCUCUUCCAUUAUUCCUCAUUUGUUGUCUGUAACUAGUCAUUUUGUGAUGUAUGCUAUAUGUGAUAGUGAUUAUUUAGCACAUGAAUAGUCAUGUUAAUUAUAUGUGAGUGUAUUCAAAUUAAAACUUGUAGGAAAGGUUGUGUAGGAUCAUUCUUGUUUAAAAUGAACCAAAUAUAUUUAACUCCUCAAUUACAAGUUUAUAUAGAUUGUGAGUUACAUUUUUUAACUAUAUGUCCUUUGACACUACUUGAUUAAGCUAAUUGACAUUCGCCAAUUUAUUAGAUUAUUUGAUAGUUUGAGGUCGGAAACAACGCUUAGAAUUGAAAUGGUACAUAUUUAAUUUUCUAUAUUUCUUAACAAAUAUUUCUCAAAUAAGUUCAAGAGUGAAGAUAAACACACCAAGAAGUCAUGAACUUCAAAAUUUUAGUGCUGAGGUUGAGGUCUACCAAAUUUUUUCUCUUGCUAGUUUUUACUGCAGUUUAUCGCGCAUGGACUUCCAAUCCUUGCAUACUGAUAGCUAGUAAGUCAAUGGUAUUUUAUUGAUAUGAAAUAUUUGAAAGUCCUGUUUCAUCUAUGCUCUAAUGCUUAGUAUACUUAUUUCAUUUUUACCUGUUUCCUCCACCAUCUGCAUUUUUAUAUAUAAUAUAGAUUAUUAUCAAAGCAGGGGAAGAAGAUAUUAGGAUAAUGAUGGCAAAGACACUGUCAGAGAUUGAGUUGACCGACCACAAUAAGGUGUCUUUAUUUAAAGAUGGGGCAUUGGAGCCACUUCUUCAACUGCUCACACAUGAUGAUUUAAAAGUAAAAAAGGUGGCUAUUGAAGCUAUACACAACCUUUCAGAUGUACCACAAAAUGGCCUCCAGUUGAUCAGAGAAGGUGCAGUAGGACCACUGUUUGAACUUCUUUAUCGUCACAGCUUAUUGUCACCAAGUUUGCGUGAACAGGUUGCUGCCACAAUUAUGCACCUUGCCAUAUCGACUGCGGCUCAAGUAGCUGAUAGCAAGCAGGUCUUAUUGCUGGAAUCUGAGGAAGAUAUUUUUAAACUCUUCUCACUUAUUUCCUUGACAGGUCCUAACAUUCAAAAAAGCAUUCUCCAAACUUUUCUUGCAGUGUGCCACUCUCCUUCAAGUGUAGAAAUAAGGGAAAAACUGAGAAAGGUAUGUGUUUGUUGAUCAACUUCUAGUAUGAGACUUGGAAAGUUUAACUGCUGUCUGCAUUUGGUGCUCUUGUAAGUUACAUGGAUAAGAUCCUUUAGCAUGUGCAAUGAUCCUUCCUCUGUGAAGCAUUUAUGGUUAAAUUGUCUCAUUUACAUUGAAAGCAUUAGAAAAUUGUCUAGCAUUAUUUUUAUGUGUUAGGCUUGGUAGAUUUUAUUUAGAUCUCCCUUCAUCAACCUGGAACCAGGAAAUGAACUGAAUAAUUUCCGAGUUGUUCAGUUUAUCUAUCCUUACCUCUUUCAUAGUGAAUCUACACAACCUUUUAUACUUGUGUGGUUCAAAUCUUUUGACCUUUUCUGUUUCAAAAUACAAUUCACAAUUACACAAUUCUAGCACUUGUGCUAUCAAUUUUAGUUACAGUUACUUUUUUGCUCUCUCUUACUUUUUUCUAUGCCCACACACAUAUAAUUUUCAGCUCUCUGCCCUCCAAGUACUGGUUCAAUUAUGUGAGCAAGAUAACGAAAUUGUACGGGGAAAUGCUGUGAAGCUGUUCUGUUGCUUGACACAAGAUGGUGAUGAAAACACCUUAUUGGAGCAUGUGGGUCAGAGAUGCAUUGAGAGAUUGCUCAGGAUCAUUACAACUUCCAACGAUCUGGAAGAGAUUGCUGCAGCCAUGGGCAUUAUCUCUAAUCUCCCUAAGGACCCAGAGAUAACUCUCUGGCUUCUAGAUGCUGGAGCACUUGAGAUCAUUUCUACUUGCCUCACUCAUGAAGGCAGAAAUGCCUCGUACAGAAUGCAAAUAACAGAAAAUGCUGCUGCAGCUCUCUGUCGUUUCAUUGCUCCAUCAAAUUUAGAAUGGCAGAAGAGAGUAGCAGAAAUUGGCAUUAUUCCAGUACUAGUAGAGUUGCUAGUUUCUGGAACCACUUUGACCAAACAAAAUGCAGCCAUUUCACUUAAACAAUUUUCUGAAAGUUCCACUGCCUUGACCAAUCGAGUGAAAAAGCGAUGGCUUUCCUGGUUCUGCUUGGAAGCACCUGUAAAAUGCUGCCCUGUACACUUGGGCAUUUGCACAGUGGAAUCUUCCUUCUGCAUUUUAGAGGCCAAUGCUCUGGAACCUCUAGUAAGGAUGCUUGGAGAGGCAGAUCCUGGAGCCUGUGAAGCUUCUUUAGAUGCACUAUUAACAUUGAUGGAUGCUGAAAGACUGCAAUGUGGUAGCAAGGUGCUUGCUGAAGCAAAUGCCAUUGCUCCAAUUAUAAAAUUGUUGAGCUCGCCUUCUGCCAGCUUGCAGGAGAAGACGCUGAAGGCUUUAGAAAGGAUCUUUCAACUUGUAGAAUUCAAGCAAAAGUAUGGAACUUCUGCCCAGAUGCCCUUAGUUGACAUAACACAGAGAGGAAGUGGUGGCAUGAGAUCUCUAGCUGCUAAGGUACUUGCACAAUUGAAUUUGCUGACUGACCAAUCCUCAUACUUCUGAUUAUUAAUCAUCAUGAUUAAAUUUUAUGUACAAAUGAUUGAAGCUGUAAUGAUUAGUUAAUUUGCAACAAAUUUAUUUAUUACAACCAUUUUUUUUUCUCUAUUGCAUAUUAAGGAUUUUUUUUCCCCUUCUAGCUGACCCUAUUCAAAAUAGUUGAAAGUGCUCACCAUUCUCAAUUCAGAU
rnacentral:misc_RNA from 1 species